UACGUAGGUGGCAAGCGUUGUCCGGAUUUACUGGGCGUAAAGAGCGCGCAGGCGGCUGGUCAAGUCCGAUGUGAAAUCUCCCGGCUUAACUGGGAAACUGCAUCGGAAACUGAUCGGCUUGAAGGUGGGAGAGGGUAGUGGAAUUCCUGGUGUAGCGGUGAAAUGCGCAGAUAUCAGGAAGAACACCCGUGGCGAAGGCGGCUCUCUGGGACGGUACUGACGCUGAGACGCGAAAGCGUGGGGAGCGAACAGG
rnacentral:rRNA from 1 species